GAUGAAGAACGUAGCGAAAUGCGAUAAGUAAUGUGAAUUGCAGAAUUCAGUGAAUCAUCGAAUCUUUGAACGCACAUUGCGCCCUCUGGUAUUCCGGGGGGCAUGCCUGUUCGAGCGUCAUUAUAACCACUCAAGCUCUCGCUUGGUAUUGGGGUUCGCGGUUUCGCGGCCCCUAAAAUCAGUGGCGGUGCCUGUCGGCUCUACGCGUAGUAAUACUUCUCGCUAUUGAGUUCGAUAGGUCUACUUGCCAGUAACCCCCAAUUUUUACAGGUUGACCUCGGAUCAGGUAGGGAUACCCGCUGAACUUAAGCAUAUCAAUAAGCGGAGGA
rnacentral:misc_RNA from 1 species